UGCUUACACCAGAGAGCUCAGGGCAG
rnacentral:piRNA from 1 species